AACGAACGCUGGCGGCAUGCCUAACACAUGCAAGUCGAACGAGACCUUCGGGUCUAUUGUCGCACGGGUGCGUAACGCGUGGGAACCUGCCCUUAGGUUCGGAAUAACUCCCCGAAAGGGGUGCUAAUACCGGAUAAUGUCUUCGGACCAAAGAUUUAUCGCCUUUGGAUGGGCCCGCGUUGGAUUAGCUAGUUGGUAGGGUAAAAGCCUACCAAGGCGACGAUCCAUAGCUGGUCUGAGAGGAUGAUCAGCCACACUGGGACUGAGACACGGCCCAGACUCCUACGGGAGGCAGCAGUGGGGAAUAUUGGACAAUGGGCGAAAGCCUGAUCCAGCAAUGCCGCGUGAGUGAUGAAGGCCUUAGGGUUGUAAAGCUCUUUUACCCGGGAUGAUAAUGACAGUACCGGGAGAAUAAGCUCCGGCUAACUCCGUG
rnacentral:rRNA from 1 species